rnacentral:rRNA from 1 species
UACGUAGGCAGCGAGCGUUGUUCGGAGUUACUGGGCGUAAAGGGUGCGUAGGCGGUUGUUUAAGUUUGGUGUGAAAUCUCCCGGCUCAACUGGGAGGGUGCGCCGAAUACUGAAUGACUAGAGUGCGGGAGAGGAAAGUGGAAUUCCUGGUGUAGCGGUGAAAUGCGUAGAUAUCAGGAGGAACACCGGUGGUGUAGACGGCUUUCUGGACCGUAACUGACGCUGAGACACGAAAGCGUGGGUAGCAAACAGG